rnacentral:rRNA from 1 species
GAGUUUGAUCGUGGCUCAGAUUGAACGCUGGCGGCAUGCCUUACACAUGCAAGUCGAACGGCAGCAUGAUCUAGCUUGCUAGAUUGAUGGCGAGUGGCGAACGGGUGAGUAAUACAUCGGAACGUGCCCUGUAGUGGGGGAUAACUAGUCGAAAGAUUAGCUAAUACCGCAUACGACCUGAGGGUGAAAGUGGGGGACCGCAAGGCCUCAUGCUAUAGGAGCGGCCGAUGUCUGAUUAGCUAGUUGGUGGGGUAAAGGCCCACCAAGGCGACGAUCAGUAGCUGGUCUGAGAGGACGAUCAGCCACACUGGGACUGAGACACGGCCCAGACUCCUACGGGAGGCAGCAGUGGGGAAUUUUGGACAAUGGGGGCAACCCUGAUCCAGCAAUGCCGCGUGUGUGAAGAAGGCCUCGGUUGUAAG